GGCGGCGUGCUUAACACAUGCAAGUCGAGCGGUAAGGCCCUUCGGGGUACACGAGCGGCGAACGGGUGAGUAACGCGUGGGUGAUCUGCCUCGCACUUCGGGAUAAGCCUGGGAAACUGGGUCUAAUACCGGAUAUGACCACGGACUGCAUGGUUCGGGUGGAAAAGAUUUAUCGGUGCAAAAUGGGCCCGCGGCCUAUCAGCUUGUUGGUGGGGUAAUGGCCCACCAAGGCGACGACGGGUAGCCGGCCUGAGAGGGCGACCGGCCACACUGGGACUGAGACACGGCCCAGACUCCUACGGGAGGCAGCAGUGGGGAAUAUUGCACAAUGGGCGAAAGCCUGAUGCAGCGACGCCGCGUGAGGGAUGACGGCCUUCGGGUUGUAAACCUCUUUCGACAGGGACGAAGCGCAAGUGACGGUACCUGUAGAAGAAGCACCGGCCAACUACGUGCCAGCAGCCGCGGUAAUACGUAGGGUGCGAGCGUUGUCCGGAAUUACUGGGCGUAAAGAGCUUGUAGGCGGUCUGUCGCGUCGUCUGUGAAAACUCACAGCUCAACUGUGAGCUUGCAGGCGAUACGGGCAGAAUAGAGUACUUCAGGGGAGACUGGAAUUCCUGGUGUAGCGGUGAAAUGCGCAGAUAUCAGGAGGAACACCGGUGGCGAAGGCGGGUCUCUGGGAAGUAACUGACGCUGAGAAGCGAAAGCGUGGGUAGCGAACAGGAUUAGAUACCCUGGUAGUCCACGCCGUAAACGGUGGGUACUAGGUGUGGGUUUCCUUCCACGGGAUCCGUGCCGUAGCUAACGCAUUAAGUACCCCGCCUGGGGAGUACGGCCGC
rnacentral:rRNA from 1 species